UGUUUUGUUUUCCCUUGCUUUGUGUGUAUGUGUGCGUUUGUGCAGAAUUAGUUCUUUGGAACUAGCACUCUGCAAACCACCCAUGAUGGCCAGAAUACCCCUUCUUUUUAUCCUCCUUACUCUCUGCUCAGGGUCCGUGGCAGAGUCUCAGCUGAGUCAAGAAGCUUCGAUGUUUGGAUCUGUUGGACAAAAAGUCACACUAGUCUGUACUGGAACUGGUGGUGAUGUUGGAGCAUAUGAUGCAUCCUGGCAUAAAGAAAUUCCAGGUGUUGUCCCCAAAUUUGUGACAGUUGGCCAUUCUCGGCCCUUUAACAAUAUGUAUUACCUAACUAUGACAGAACUCCAAGCUGAGGAUGAGGCCACUUAUUACUGCUCAACAUGGGACAGCUUUACAAAUGCUCACACAGUAUUCCAUAUGCAUGAGGAACUGAGACAAAAAUAUUACCGCCAUGCCCACCUGCCUGAUCACUCAUGA